CCUACGGGUGGCUGCAGUGGGGAAUAUUGCACAAUGGGGGAAACCCUGAUGCAGCGACGCCGCGUGAGUGAAGAAGUAUUUCGGUAUGUAAAGCUCUAUCAGCAGGGAAGAAAAUGACGGUACCUGAUUAAGAAGCCCCGGCUAACUACGUGCCAGGAGCCGCGGUUAUACGUAGGGGGCAAGCGUUAUCCGGAUUUAAUGGGGGUAAAGGGAGCGUAGACGGCAGCACAAGUCUGGAGUGAAAUGUCUGGGCUUAACCCCCGACCUGCUUUGGAAACUGUGCAGCUAGAGUGCAGGAGAGGUAAGUGGAAUGCCCAGUGUAGCGGUGAAAUGCGUAGAUA
rnacentral:rRNA from 1 species